GCAGCCGUGUGCAGGGUGUGUUGUAGAGGUAGAGAGAGCAGGCAGGAAGCAGUGUGUGAGGCAGACAGACAGCAUGGUUAGAGCGUGCAGGGCGGACCAGCCACGGCUCUCCAUGUAGCCCAGUGCAGCACAAGUUAGAGGGGGGGAGUCCGAGGAGCCACCAGGACCUACUCAUCUCACUAACAGCUAGGAGCUCUCUCUCCACUCAGGCUACUGGCUUUUUUUUCAGGGAUAGACUUCAGAGGAACAACUUCAAAUUUCUAUUUUUUUUUCUCUGGCUGGCUUUGGUGUUUACUUUCGAGGAGCCUUUUUUGUAUAUUUGGGGACACCUGGGGAAUAGUUAUUGUUUUGACUGGGUCUUGACUGGGCUGGGUGGGCGCUCCAAGGGACCGCAUGCAUGACACAACGCAAAGGCGAGAAGACCACCAUCAGCAUCCAGGAGCACAUGGCCAUUGACGUGUGCCCUGGCCCCAUCCAGCCCAUCAAGCAGAUCUCUGACUACUUCCCCCGCUACCCGCGGGGUCUCCCCCCGACAGCACCCCCCGCCCUCAGCCGAGCCGGCUCGCUGCACUCCUCCUCCGCCAGCCACAACUCUGGGGAUGACCCGGCCCACUCCCACACCGGCGACGACCUGGACCGGAUGUUUGGCGGUGCCGCCGCCCCAACACCUGCGGCGACUGGCAAGAAGGAGGAGGAACCGGACGUGGAGGGCUAUGACUCGGACGACUCAACUACAUUGGGGACCCUGGACUUCAGUUUACUGUAUGACCAGGAAAACAACGCUUUGCACUGUACCAUCAACAAAGCCAAGGGGCUAAAACCCAUGGACCACAACGGGCUCUCAGAUCCAUAUGUCAAACUGCACCUGCUGCCUGGGGCCAGUAAGGCCAAUAAGCUUCGCACCAAGACCCUGCGCAACACCCUCAACCCCAUCUGGAGCGAGACCCUGACCUACUAUGGCAUCACCGAUGAGGAUAUGGUCCGCAAAACACUCAGGAUUUCAGUGUGUGAUGAGGACAAGUUCCGCCACAAUGAGUUCAUCGGAGAGACACGCAUUCCCCUCAAGAAACUCAAGCCCAACCAGACCAAGAACUUCUACAACUGCUUGGAGAAACAGCUGCCUAUCGACAAGACAGAUGACAAGUCCCUGGAGGAGCGAGGGCGUAUCAUGAUCUCCCUCAAGUACAGUUCCCAGAAGUCUGGCCUGGUGGUGGGCAUCGUCCGCUGUGCCCACCUCGCCGCCAUGGACGCCAACGGCUUCUCAGAUCCCUACGUCAAAACGUACCUGAAGCCUGAUGAAAACAAAAAGUCAAAGCACAAGACUGCUGUGAAGAAGAAGACCCUCAACCCAGAGUUUAACGAGGAGUUCUUCUAUGAAAUCAAAUACGCCGAUCUCAGCAAGAAGACACUGGAGGUGACCGUGUGGGAUUACGACAUUGGCAAGUCCAACGAUUUUAUAGGUGGCGUAUCCCUGGGCAUCAGCGCCAAUGGGGAGAGGCUCAAACACUGGUUCGACUGUCUCAAAAACAAGGACAAGAAAAUUGAGCGCUGGCACACUCUGACCAACGAACUUCCUGGUACAACAUUCAACGACUAAUGGCCCAUCCACUACCUACACAUUUGCAAGUAAGGCCCCUCCCAUACUUGCUGUGGACAGGAGUUCAGCCUUGAUCGACCAAUUUACCAAAUCACACUCCAGCUUUCCCAUUUCCGGAGACAUUUACCAAAUCACAGCUCUUGUUUUCUGUAUUUCUCUCCCAAGGUUUUGAGCUCACCCCUUAUCUUCUAUCCCCUUCUGAUAAUGUGCUGUCUUUAGGGCUUAUUUGAUGAUUCUGCACCUGCAGCUGUCCACGAAACAACGGUUUGGCAGUGUUGAGAAAGAGUCUGAUGUAUGUCCCAACAAAACCAUAAGUGUGCAACACAUGGGAAACACAAGGUUUGCUGCACAAAACUAGAGAAUAGAUUAUAUUUAAAUUGUUUGCUGUCCAGAGAUGCAUAUUCACUAGGUUUACUGGCAAAUGUACUGGCAGAUAUGGGGAAUGUGCACUUUGUUGAAAUGACAGGAGAAAAGUGUGGAUUAUUUACUUCAGACACUGCUCUAAAAAGCAUGUAAUGUUUACAAGUCUAGGACGCAGCUCCACACACCUAUGCUGUUCCUCUCAAGUUCGUCUUUGCAGGAGAAAGGGGGAAAAAGACACACGUAAUGUGUUUUAUAUAGAUGGUUUACUUUCAGGCCAUUGCAAAUGUCUAAUCCUGUGAUGAAGGGUUUGGGCUAGGAGAGGGAAAUGAGGAAGUGGUGAGGCAUUUUUAAUAAAGUAGCGCUAAGUAUCUUGUUGCUUGUGUUUCAGUUGUUUUUAAAGUAGAGUAAAAUGUACACUACCCCAAUCAGUGUAUCAGAUGAAUGUAGACUAUAACCCUUCUAUCCCACAGUACAGUAACUCCUCUGAGAAUGUGCACCCAAGUGCUGUGUGUUAUUGAACCAGUUCAUACAUAAAAUUCAAGGUCUGAUAAACAUCAGAGAGUUGCAUUGGAUGGCAUGGGAGGAAGAGAAUUGAACUUCUGCAGCCCCAUUGGCAAACUGUCAAUGAUGUUACUUGAGGUGGAACAUUGUCCAUAGAUCUAUAUUUUUAAUGACAUGAGGGCUGUCAUGGAACUACCGAUUCAUAGUUAAUGUAGUGGAAUGUACGAGUUGGCGCUGCUUAGUCCUAGAACCCUAUUUAGUCGAAGAGAAGCCAAUAUGACUCAGAACACACUUCACACUUAUUUGAUAUCAAAGCACGGUUUGAUCAUUGUGCAAAAUUAAGCAUUUUAUAUUCACCUUUUUAUUGUUGCCUGUUGUCUAAGAAAUCACAGGGCUAAAAUGUAUGUUUAUGUGUGCGUGCACAUGUUUGUACUGUAUGUAUGUUGGUGAACGCAACCAACAAAUUGUCCUUUUAAUUGUGAAAUAUUCAACUGGCCAAUUCUUAGCCAACAGGUAAUCAUUGUAUAUAUAUUGCUAGUGUUUUCCAUUGUACAUGUUGUUGGCAUUCAAACUUGAACUGUACUUUUAGUUUAUGUAUAGCAGCAUACAACCAGUAUAUACCCGACAGGACAUGAUUAUAAGUUGUUUCAUUUUGUGUUCUAAUUUAUUUUACCCAUUGCGAUAUUUUUGACAGCUUUUGUCUUCCUUUAAUAAUCUCAAAUUGUGUUCCAUUUCAUUCUUAAACAUGCAGUGAGCUUAAUCUCAAGGGUAUUUUUCAUUUUCAUUGACCUACCCAUGUGGGCUUAACGUUCCUACUUCAUCUUCACAGUUUACUCAAGAGAGGGUCAAAUAUUCCACCUGUCUAUCUGAGCGUUAGUCUCUCUGGCCUGGUGUGGAGAGUGAAACACUAACUCUCAUUGGCUAUGCAGCAGUCAAAUAUCUUCCCCCUCUACUAAUGAGAAGUUGUUUUGGACACAAAGGUCCAACACUAUCUCUUCAUCAGUCCUACAGGGGUCAGGCAGGCAUGAAGGUGGUCUCUUUCUCAAAUGCAUAUACAGUCGCAACAGCAGCCCAACCUGUGGAAUUUUGUAAUCUGUUUGCCUUUGUACUCAAAACUGGAUAUUAUGACAAAAAUGCAUGCAGAUGUUAUUGGUUUGUCAUGAAAUGACUUUGCUUAAUGUUUGAUACUGCUGUUUUUUCUGUGAAAAAAAUAACACAACUGUGGAUGCUACAAGAAUGUCAAUAUUUCUUCUGGACGUUUUGUACCUUUGAACACUAUCGCAUUGACUGUCUGGGGAUGUGACUGCACGUGAAGAAAAUCUCUGCCUCUGUUUUGUUCCUUUUUUUAACACUCAGGCAAUUGUUUGCAUAGUUCUGGUGGUUCUCUGGUUUUCAAAAAAUUAUUAAGAAAAACAAUUAGAUUUUCUCCUAUUUCAUUAGUCUUGGCACGGAAUGGCCGUAUGAUUGUGCCUUUUCUUUUGUAACAGUGUAUUUUUGCACCACUCAAGAUUAGAUCAUAGCUUUCAUAUGGAAAUAAUACAUGGCACAUUUAUAUUUCUGUAUAUGCGUUAGUAUCGGAACACUGUUUCCCUCUUUGAAUAUUUCCCACCCAAAUGACACGAGGCCAGUGUCAUUCCACUAUGUGAUGGUGUUGACAGUGAGGGCAGGGGGGGUGCAAGGUUGAGGUGGAAGCAUGGAUUUAUACGUCUGUGGAUGGAAGAGGUCACAAUGAAAGGCAACAGGGUCUGUAUUAACAAAGUGUCUCAGAGAAAGUGCUGAUCUAGGAUCAGUUUUGCCUUUUAAAUUAUAAUGAAUUAUAUUAUACGGACAGGGGUGACCUGAUCCUAAUCAGCAUCCCUGGUCUUAGACGCUUUGUGAAUGCGGGCCCAGAUCCCGAUUUCUGAACGUAGUACACAAACCACAGAUAAGCCAGUAUGCCAAGUUACAUCUUCUACUUAUAUGGAGGAUGUUUUAGUGUAUUUUUUUACAGUAAACCGGAUGUGGCAGACUGGUGAUGGAAAGGCUGUGAAUUUAAUUAGUCUGAGCUUAUUAUCUUGGUCAGGUGUUUUUUGUACUGACAAUUACAUCUGUGGCAAGUUGCCAAGCAUGCCACAGAACAUUGUGUUUUGUAAGCUGUUUUCGGCUCACUGAAGGUAUUCAUCUUCAAGUAACAACGAUAAGGUUACCAAUAUUGCCCAUAUUCAUUGAGCGUACACCAUAUUCAUUACAUUAUCCAGUUAUGUACAUUUUUGACCCAGCAAAAAAAACUCUACCAGAAACCAGAAUAUUUAUUAUUUUAUCCAUUUUUUUUUAUUUUAAGAAUUACAUUAUUCCUUACAUUUGUUUUUUACUCUGGUGAAUGGUGUGCUAUUUGUAUGUUUAAAUUUGAAAUCUUGUUCAAUAAAGUAGAGAACCUAAAUAAUAUUGCCUCAUGUUGUAAUGUUAUGAUUCUUUUGAUUCUCAACCCCCAGUUCUGGAGAGCUACUGGGUGUGAAGGCCUUUGCUUAGAGCAAGAAGAGCCCUGUGGCUUCAGACUAUUGGGUGUGGGAGAGUGGGAAAUCUGGGGACCCGUUGUCCAAGUAGGCUACACGUAGCGACUGUAUGUGUGUGGAAAACAUCUAAUCACAGGCAGGCGGGACUGUGACAUUCUAUCUAAUACUGACUGGGACUCCGAAAUCCUCCAACCAGGAUUUCUGGGAAAACAGGGAAUUUAUUGAAAUGUCACAGAAUUUUGCAACCCUACUGUUAUGUCAACUUCUCUGCAAGGGAAUGGACCAUAGACGGAUUAAACUGAAGCCUGCCCUCUAGCGGUGUGUAUUUGUAAUUCCACAAGUGCAACAUUUGAUACUGUGACAGCUGGUCUAAUGCUGCGUUGACAUGCUGUUUUUGUUGUCUUUUUUUUUUGCCUUCAAGUUUAUUUUAAACAAAAAACAACAAUAACAACCAUCACAAAACUAUGAUAACUGAAGUGAAAGGCUUGUAUAUUUUAUUCCCAUUG